rnacentral:rRNA from 1 species
UACAGAGGGUGCGAGCGUUAAUCGGAAUUACUGGGCGUAAAGCGUGCGUAGACGGUUAUUUAAGUCGGGUGUGAAAAGCCCCCGGGCUCAACCUGGGAAUUGCAUUCGAGACUGAAUAGCUAGGGUACGGUAGAGGGAAGUGGAAUUUCCGGUGUAGCGGUGAAAUGCGUAGAUAUCGGAAGGAACAUCAGUGGCGAAAGCGACUUCCAUGGACCAGUACCGACCGUUCGAGGC